GAUGAACGCUGGCGGCGUGCCUAAUACAUGCAAGUCGAGCGAACAGAUGAGGCGCUUGCUCCUCUGACGUUAGCCGCGGACGUGUGAAUCACACGUGGAUCACCUCCCUAUCAUACUGGUAUAACUUCGGGACACCGGCGCUAAUACCGUAUAAUCUAUUGCACCGCAUGGUUCAAUAGUGAGAUUCGGUUUUGCUGUCACUUCUAGAUGCAUACGCGCCGCAUUAUCUAGUUGGUAAGGUCACAGCUUACCACGGCUACCAUGCGUAACCGACCUGCGGGACGGGUCGCCCACACUAGAGCGGAGACACGGUCCUGACGCCUACGGGACGCAGCAGUAUGGAAUCGGCCGCAAUGGGCGAAAGCCUGACGGAGCAACGCCGCGUGAGAGAUGAAGGUCUCCGGAUCGGAAAACUCGGUUAUUAGGGAAGAACAAAUGUGGAAGGAACUAUGCACGUCUUGACGGUAACGAAUCAGAAAGCCACGGCUAACUACGUG
rnacentral:rRNA from 1 species